GUCAGAACUUAUUUGGAACAUUGCAUCACUUGCUCACCAAUGGAUCCUCUGCAGUGAAUGGGUGCCGUCAGAAUGAGAGUUCAAACAGCUGAGACCAAACGUCUUGCUAAAUUUCUCUAAAUCUGUUCCGGUGAAGAAACAAACUCAUCUACAUAUUGGAUGGCCUGAUGUUUGACUUGGACAUUCUGCCCGACACCUCAUUAUGUGUUUCAAGACAGGGGAAAGUCGAACGAGAUUUGAAACAAUAUGAAGGUGUGCUGAAAGGGGGCCUGUAAGGACAAGAGCUGUGGAGGUCAAAACGGACAGGAAGCGGCUGUUUGUUUGUCUGGACACUUGUUUGUGAGUCUGGCCAUUAUCCUCCUCAUUAAUUCUGAUGGUAAAUAGCCUGCCUCAAGAUUGGGAAGGUUAUACUGACCUCACACCUCUCCAUAACAGUAUGUUUGAAUUAUUUUAGCCCUCACAGUGGCCGGGUCCGUCGCUUUGUCAGGGCAGCAAUCGUGUUUACGGCCUAUACAAGAAGAGAUUUGCCACACUAGUGGCUUUUACCCACCAUGAUGUCAGCUUAUUUUAAUAGAUUUGUUUACCCAAGGCUGAACUUUUGGUGGUUAAAAUUUAAAUUCUCUCAUCAUUUAAUGUUGUAUGAAAGCUGCAUGAUUUUCUGUCAUUUGUUGAACACAAUGCAGUUUGUUUAAGGCUCUAGUAUGUCUUUGUGGGAUGUGUUCCAACUCUCAACUGUUACAUUAUGAAAGAUAAAGUCAUAUUAUUUGUUGUCCCC
ensembl:lncRNA